GACGAACGCUGGAGGCGUGCUUAACACAUGCAAGUCGAACGAUGAAAUGGAGCUUGCUCCAUGGAUUAGUGGCGAACGGGUGAGUAACACGUGAAUAACCUGCCCUUAAUUUUGGAAUAACCCAGGGAAACCUGGGCUAAUACCGGAUAAGUAAACCUGUGGCAUCACAUGGUUUUGGAAAGUUUUUCGAUUAAGGAUGGAUUCGCGGCCUAUCAGCUUGUUGGUGAGGUAAUGGCUCACCAAGGCGACGACGGGUAGCCGGCCUGAGAGGGUAACCGGCCACACUGGGACUGGGACACGGCCCAGACUCCUACGGGAGGCAGCAGUGGGGAAUAUUGCGCAAUGGACGAAAGUCUGACGCAGCGACGCCUCGUGAGGGACGAAGGUCUUCGGAUUGUAAACCUCUUUCAGCAGGGACGAAGCGAAAGUGACGGUACCUGCAGAAGAAGCACCGGCUAACUAUGUGCCAGCCGCCGCAGUAA
rnacentral:rRNA from 1 species